GAUGAACGCCGGCGGUGUGCCUAAUACAUGCAAGUCGAACGCGUUGGCCCAAUUGAUUGAUGGUGCUUGCACCUGAUUGAUUUUGGUCGCCAACGAGUGGCGGACGGGUGAGUAACACGUAGGUAACCUGCCCAGAAGCGGGGGACAACAUUUGGAAACAGAUGCUAAUACCGCAUAACAGCGUUGUUCGCAUGAACAACGCUUAAAAGAUGGCUUCUCGCUAUCACUUCUGGAUGGACCUGCGGUGCAUUAGCUUGUUGGUGGGGUAACGGCCUACCAAGGCGAUGAUGCAUAGCCGAGUUGAGAGACUGAUCGGCCACAAUGGGACUGAGACACGGCCCAUACUCCUACGGGAGGCAGCAGUAGGGAAUCUUCCACAAUGGGCGCAAGCCUGAUGGAGCAACACCGCGUGAGUGAAGAAGGGUUUCGGCUCGUAAAGCUCUGUUGUUAAAGAAGAACACGUAUGAGAGUAACUGUUCAUACGUUGACGGUAUUUAACCAGAAAGUCACGGCUAACUACGUGCCAGCAGCCGCGGUAAUACGUAGGUGGCAAGCGUUAUCCGGAUUUAUUGGGCGUAAAGAGAGUGCAGGCGGUUUUCUAAGUCUGAUGUGAAAGCCUUCGGCUUAACCGGAGAAGUGCAUCGGAAACUGGAUAACUUGAGUGCAGAAGAGGGUAGUGGAACUCCAUGUGUAGCGGUGGAAUGCGUAGAUAUAUGGAAGAACACCAGUGGCGAAGGCGGCUACCUGGUCUGCAACUGACGCUGAGACUCGAAAGCAUGGGUAGCGAACAGGAUUAGAUACCCUGGUAGUCCAUGCCGUAAACGAUGAGUGCUAGGUGUUGGAGGGUUUCCGCCCUUCAGUGCCGGAGCUAACGCAUUAAGCACUCCGCCUGGGGAGUACGACCGCAAGGUUGAAACUCAAAGGAAUUGACGGGGGCCCGCACAAGCGGUGGAGCAUGUGGUUUAAUUCGAAGCUACGCGAAGAACCUUACCAGGUCUUGACAUCUUGCGCCAACCCUAGAGAUAGGGCGUUUCCUUCGGGAACGCAAUGACAGGUGGUGCAUGGUCGUCGUCAGCUCGUGUCGUGAGAUGUUGGGUUAAGUCCCGCAACGAGCGCAACCCUUGUUACUAGUUGCCAGCAUUAAGUUGGGCACUCUAGUGAGACUGCCGGUGACAAACCGGAGGAAGGUGGGGACGACGUCAGAUCAUCAUGCCCCUUAUGACCUGGGCUACACACGUGCUACAAUGGACGGUACAACGAGUCGCGAACUCGCGAGGGCAAGCAAAUCUCUUAAAACCGUUCUCAGUUCGGACUGCAGGCUGCAACUCGCCUGCACGAAGUCGGAAUCGCUAGUAAUCGCGGAUCAGCAUGCCGCGGUGAAUACGUUCCCGGGCCUUGUACACACCGCCCGUCACACCAUGAGAGUUUGUAACACCCAAAGUCGGUGGGGUAACCUUUUAGGAGCCAGCCGCCUAAGGUGGGACAGAUGAUUAGGGUGAAGU
rnacentral:rRNA from 2 species